rnacentral:rRNA from 1 species
UGGUUGUCGUCAGCUCGUGUCGUGAGAUGUUGGGUUAAGUCCCGCAACGAGCGCAACCCUUAUUGUUAGUUGCCAUCAUUCAGUUGGGCACUCUAGCAAGACUGCCGGUGACAAACCGGAGGAAGGUGGGGAUGACGUCAAAUCAUCAUGCCCCUUAUGGCCUGGGCUACACACGUGCUACAAUGGGAAGUACAACGAGUCGCGAAGUCGCGAGGCUAAGCUAAUCUCUUAAAGCUUCUCUCAGUUCGGAUUGUAGGCUGCAACUCGCCUACAUGAAGCCGGAAUCGCUAGUAAUCGCGGAUCAGCACGCCGCGGUGAAUACGUUCCCGGGCCUUGUACACACCGCCCGUCACACCACGAGAGUUUGUAACACCCGAAGUCGGUGAGGUAACCUUUUGGAGCCAGCCGCCUAAGGUGGGAUAGAUGAUUGGGGUGAAGUCGUAACAAGGUAGCCGUAUCGGAAGGUGCGGCUGGAUCACCUCCUUUCUAAGGAA